rnacentral:tRNA from 1 species
GGAAGUGCGGCAACGAUGGUGAGUUGUGCUAGACUGUAAAUCUAGUGCCUUCGGGCUUAGGGGGUUCGAAUCCCUCCACUUCCA